GACGAACGCUGGCGGCGUGCCUAAUACAUGCAAGUCGAACGCAGUGGGGACGGGUGAGUAACACGUGGGUAACCUCCCAUCAGAGGGGAUAACACUUGGAAACAGGUGCUAAACCGAUACUGGAGGAUGGACCCGCGGUGCAUUAGCUAGUUGGUGAGGUAACGGCUCACCAAGGCCACGAUGCAUAGCCGACCUGAGAGGGUGAUCGGACACACGGAGACUGAGACACGGCCCAGACUCCUACGGUAGGCAGCAGUAGGGAAUCUUCGGCAAUGGACGAAAGGCUGAUCGAGCAACGCCGCGUGAGUGAAGAAGGUGUUCGGAUCGUAGAACUAUGUUGUUAGAGAAGCGGUAUCUAACCAGAAAGCCACGGCUAACUACGUGCCAGCAGCCGCGGUAAUUC
rnacentral:rRNA from 1 species